GCACGGCGGCGGCCCCUUCGGAGUGGAGCAGGCAAGCACACAGACGCCCAACACAGAUUGCGGGAGCCGGCCGUGGUCAUCGCCCCUGAUGUGCUGCUGGCUGCCGCUCCACGCCAUGGAGGUUGCCACAAGUGUAGACUGGAGACGCGGUGGUGCCCUCUACAUGUUAGAUAUGCGUGCAGCAGGCAACCUAGAUGUUGUUGUGCUCUAACACAGCAGGGGCGACACACAAGAGCUAUCUGGCGACUCAGCGACGACGAGCUUGCUGAACACGAGCAUGGUUGAUAUUCAGGCUACUACUGACACGGCCAGGAAGAAUUGACAAUCUCUGAAUUGGAGUUUCUCAAUGAGAAAGGAGCACAGGAUGGCAUGUGGAGAGUACUCCUGGACGCACUUGCAUAAGAGACUGGGCAGCUGGAUCCAUCUCGGCGCAGAUCCUGCUCAGUUCUAACGAGCCAUCCCUCUUGACGUAUGUGCGCCACAGCUGCUUCGGUAAGGUCCUGCUCGCUGAGCUCUCCACGUGGGAUACCGCCUAGGGGUCACAACGGCAAUGCAGACAACUUUGGUCAAGGAUGUCUGGCGGCGAGGUCAUCUAUGUAAGACACUUGCGUGUGUCAUGGGCAUCUAGGAAGACAAAGAUUAAGAAAUCUAGAUGAAUUUGAUUUCAUCAUGGUCUGACUGUGAGGUCACAACGGCAAUGCAGACAACUUUGGUCAAGGAUGUCUGGCGGCGAGGCCAUCUAUGUAAGACACUUGCGCGUGUCAUGGGCAUCUAGGAAGACAAAUAUUAAGAAAUCUAGAUGAAUUUGAUUUCAUCAUGGUCUGACUGUGAGGUCACAACGGCAAUGCAGACAACUUUGGUCAAGGAUGUCUGGCGGCGAGGCCAUCUAUGUAAGACACUUGCGCGUGUCAUGGGCAUCUAGGAAGACAAAUAUUAAGAAAUCUUGAUGAAUUUGAUUUCAUCAUGGUCGGACUGUGAGGUACCAAUUGUAGCUGAUACGGUGCAGAUUUUUCCCCUCUCAGGCUCAUUACUGUGCUUAUUCGCACAAGGUAACAUCAGUGCAGCCGAUCGCCUGGUUCUUUGCAUUUGCAAUGGGCAAAAAGUAAGACCAGUGCAGCCGACUACCUGAUUCUCUGCAUUCGCACAAUAUUCAGUCUCAGCGAGUCAUUUUAGGCUAACAUGAUUCACACUGCAGGGAUGAAUUAUUUAUAAGUUUAGCACAUUCCAUUUUCAGGUAUGCCGUGUGAGCUUUAGAAUAUGCAUGCGUCUACGAAAAUCCAUGUAGUUAGAAGUUCUUAGUUGCUAUAUUAUUCGCUGCUGACAGAUAAUUUUCCUUUUCCUUUGUCAAUAGAAGCAAUCGAACAACAAGCACUAGACUGCUUGAGUUUUUAUACAGCCUACUCUAAACUUCUCCAUAUCAGGUCACAAGCUCUGAAACAGUAAGCAAUAACAGCAAAAGCCAGGAAUCAGCCACUGCCCCCCAAAAAAGGAACUUAACUUUACAACGACAUCAGCUGGAGUAAAUCCAUCGACUCCAGUCACUAGAAAUAAUGUGUAUGGUAUCAUGGACCUACGUGUUCUAUUUUCAGCCUGUAAAAUUAAGUACUUAGCCAGCUAUAUACAGCUACCUUAGUUAUCCUACUGUCUUUUGAAACCUGCCACUGUGAUAUACUUUCAGGGUGUUGUAGUAUAUGAUGCAGUACAUUAAUGCCUUAGAUAGUAAAUUAUUUUCCUAAGAAGCAGCAUAGUUCAAGAUGUGUAAAUAUUGCAGUGGAAAGUUUUAGACAGAAAGCUCGAGAUGAACAAUGAAAAGUUACAAUAUAAAGGGCAAGGCAACUAACUUUGCCACCCAAGCUACUCUUACUUUCUAGCACCUUAUACUUUUGAAACACCUCCAUAAACCUGCAUCUCGAUAAGCACUGAUGAGCCAGUUUCACAACAUACUAAUAUUUUUAUCCUAUGUCAAUCUUCUAGCUCCAACAGACAACCAAAAAAUGAUUCUACCACGGGCGCGGCGUGCCGCCGCGCCAAUGCUUUCUAGUAUUUAUAAUUACAACGAAUUUUGGAGUUUAUAGGGUGCAUUGCACCCAUGUGCCAAAAAUCCACGUCCGUCAUGUCUUCAGCUAAAUAUGCCUGAGAAUUAUUAGUCUCAUCGGCCACUAGUAUUGAGCCAUAUCCACGGUUGAUUUCAAGGAUAGUUUAGGCAACUAAGGUUUCGGUAUUUCUUUUUAAGACCCAGAUAUCCCUGAUCUUUAGAUCAUUCGAUCGAGCUGGCACAUCUUCUUUUUGAUCCUCGUUUAGCUUUAACGAUUCAGCUAGCUUUAACAGGCUAGUGUUCUUCUGUUUUCUACCCUUUUCUUUCUGAAGUUUAUCAGACGUAGAAAGUUGCUAACUAUCCGGUUGAUGUCGCUGGUGAUCAUGAGUAGCCACUUGAUAAGUUGAUAUGCACGUGCUAUGUCUGUUCCCGACUACCGCCAUACGAUUUCUAAGCACCUCUAAAGCUUCAAAAUUCUUCGUAUAUAGAUCUGUGACUAUCCAUAUGACUGUAUCGCGGUGUGUUAGAGUUGUCAAAUUGCUCUUUCUCGAUGGAUAAGAGCAUGCUUUAACUUUCCAAUGGCUUUGUGUCAUCCAAACCAGAAUGGGCGUUAGCUUCUCCGUGAUUGUAAUAAGUGGUGGUAUACUGAGACUUGACACUUGGUUUUUAAUAAAAGAAGCCGUGUGCAUCUAUUGAUGCAGAGGCUGGGGCUCUGCUGCUUUAUCGGAAAAAAAUGUAGGCCGUGCGUGUAAAGUGUCUUUGUGCAGUCAUCUGCUUGUCUUUCAACCCACUCACACGGGCUAUCACGCGCCUUCCUUCGCGCCGACCUUCCUUUGUCCCCCAUAUCUCCACAUGCCAGGAUGGCUGGAAUGUGCUUUUGCUACGGCCAUUCUGAAUUCCUGAUCAUGCUUGGUUGAUGUUCUCGUUAGCUCGAGAGUGCACGAGUUGUGCUGGCCUAGCUGCCGACAGCGGCGCGUAUCCAACCCGCAAUGUUGUAACGAGCUGCCGAGAGCGCUCGUUUACGCAAUACAGCGUGUGUGCUCAUCUGAUCAGAAGGAAGAACACUUGCAAGCUAGUCUAGCAGUUACAGACAGAGCAGCAGAGCAUAUAAAGUGAUAAAUCAAUCAUCUGUGAGCUGCCUAGCUAGUGACUAUCGAUCGCUCUAGCUAGUCCCGUGUAAAUAAUUUUAAUUUUCUUUCCGUUGACCCGACCAUGGCUUCAGAAGUAGGGGAGCUGGAAGCGUCGCCACCACUUUCCAAUUUGCUCGUCUAGCUAGUUGAUGGCCUAGUUGAUGGCCUGAUGCCUAUCAUGAGUAUCAUACAUGGUUAUGCGUCUUGCUCGUUGCUCAGUAAAUGCUAUAAGUAUUGACUACUCGAUCCGCUAGUUGAAAGUUACUAGAAUGGAAUGGCUCGGGUAUACAUCAUGUUUGAUUGUUUGAUAUACACACAUGUUGACAGCA